CAGUUCAGUUUUCUGAGUUUUCGACCCAGUUGUCUAUUUACUAAACACUGUACACUUCGGUUGGGUAUUUGGAAGUAGUCUCUUCACAAAGGUUUUAGUAGACAUCUUAUAGAUCAUUUCAGAAUUGAAAUCUCUUGAAAAUGAUUUUUUUACAUUAAACUAUGAAUUUAUAAAGUUGAGAGUCUGCAUUAAGAAAUUCUGCAAAAGUGUUACCAUGUUACUGCAUUUUCUUUUUUAUUUCGAUAGUUUCUUUCAUUCAAACUUGUUCAGAUUCAUCACCAACUGAACAUAGACAUUCUUAAACUUUUCAAAGUAAACUUACGACACCAUUUUCAGACUUUAUUUGAGAUACUUAUGCCUUUUUGGAAUCAGCUUUCCGUGUAAGCUUUCCUUCAACAUAAAACUGCAUCAUAUUUUGGUUAAUUGUCUAGCACCUCAAAUAUGAGUCAAAUGGCCUGCGAUUUUAGGUACUAUGUUGUUAAGAGACAACCUCUAGAGCAGUGUAUGUUCUUCAGCUAGAAUGAUACAUUUAUGUUUAAACUUAAAUGUGUGGAUCUCAUUAAGAAUGCAGGAAGAUAAUUUUAGCUUAUUUGGACGGAAAUAAGAAUUAGAUUAAGUCCAGAAUUCUUUAUCUCGGAUUUGGUUCUUGUCAUGAUUUGGUCAUUUUCGUGUAAUGUUUAACAUGAUUUACUGUAAAUAGGAAUGAUCUUAUUUCAACUCUAUUUCAACUUAGUUGUGAAUUGUGUCUUCUUUUUUUUUUUGAUUUGUUCAUAGUGGAUACAACAAUGUCCCAAUGUCAGAGUAGUCAAACUAGUAGCUCUUCUCCAUCUAUUCAAUCAACCGCAAAUGUAGAAGGAACUGCAUCCUUACACACAUCCCCAUUAGGACCUCCCCCUGAACCUCAACGCCCUCAACCUUUAGCUGAACCUCAAUCCCAACCUCAAUCUCAUCCUUAAACUCAACUUGAACCUCGGCCACAAAGCUCACAACCUCAAUCUUCUUGUGGGCAGAAACGAAAAGAACCAGCCAACAAAAGUCCUCUUUGGGCAUACUUUACUAGAUGUAAGUUCCCAAACUCGGAUGAAAUCGAUCCGGAGUGGUGCACAUGCAACAUUUGUGGUGAGGAAGUGUUGUGUGCAGUUAAGAGGAAUGGGACAAGUUCAAUGUGGUCUCAUGUAAACAAGAGAUGUUUGGAACACCCAUUGCAUCCCAAACUAGCUGAUUCUGAUCCCAAACAGUCUAGGUUGUCUGUAGAUAAUGUGAGUGGAGCAAGAACUUAUCAUAAGUAUAACCG
rnacentral:lncRNA from 1 species